UACGGGGGGGGUAAGCGUUGUUCGGAAUUACUGGGCGUAAAGGGCUCGUAGGCGGCCAACUAAGUCAGACGUGAAAUCCCUCAGCUUAACUGGGGAACUGCGUCUGAUACUGGAUGGCUAGAGGUUGGGAGAGGGAUGCGGAAUUCCAGGUGUAGCGGUGAAAUGCGUAGAUAUCUGGAGGAACACCGGUGGCGAAGGCGGCAUCCUGGACCAACACUGACACUGAGGAGCGAAAGCCAGGGGAGCAAACGGG
rnacentral:rRNA from 1 species